rnacentral:lncRNA from 12 species
UCCAAAGAGCUCUCUGUUCUCCCCACCCCUUCCAACCUGCUCAGAAACAUCUCUCCAUUGGGAGCAUGGAGAUGAAAACAGGUGGGAGAGUACCUGACAGACCUGCUGGGAUUCAGGUCUUGUUCUAGGGACAAGGGAGGGCUGAGCUUGGGCUGCAGCAUCACAAAGGACCAGAGCUG